AGGAGUAUUUGAUGACCACGACCUUAUCCUUUUCUGCUGCUUCUCUGUUGCUGCCCAUGCACAUCCCCUGAUGCACAGUCUUCUUUCUCUCUCCACAAACACAGACACGAAUUCUCUCUAGUUUCUCCAGGGGGUGAUAACAGCAAGGCUCCUUCCCUCUGGAAACAUAUACAAUUUUGCUGGAGUAAUAAAAACACCAAAGAGGAGAACCAGCAGCAGACACAGGACUGGUUUGAUUUUAUUUUCUCACCUCUGUGGAGAGCGAAGCAGUAAAAUCUUUCAAGAGGCCUGCGUCUGGGUAUCCCGCUGCUGCCUUCAGCCCCAUCUCCUGAGCAGUAGGAGUGGUGGCUUCACAGCCUUUUCAAGUUAUUCA
rnacentral:lncRNA from 1 species